rnacentral:rRNA from 1 species
AUUAAGCCAUGCAUGUGUCAGAAUAUGUCUGUAUAGACGAAUCUGCGGACGGCUCAUUACAACAGUAAUCACAUAUUUGACGCUUUCAUUACGGAUAACCGUGGGAAACCAAGGCUAAUACGAGUGAAAAGUGUUGCUGUCUCAGCAACGCGGUAUUUCUUGUGUCUUGAGUCGAACGCGCUCCGGCGUGUGCGAUGAAUCGCAAGAACUUUUCGAAUCGAUUUCGAUGCGUCAUAUUGGUUUCUGACCUAUCAGCUCUCGAUGGUGAGGUAUUGGCUAACCAUGGCGAUGACGGGUGACGGGGAAUUGGGGUUUGAUUCCGGAGAGGGCGCCUGAGAAAUGGCGACCACGUCUAAGGAUGGCAGCAGGCGCGCAAAUUACCCAAUCCUGACACAGGGAGGUAGUGACAAGAAAUAGCAACACAAAGCACUUGCUUUGAUGUUUGCAAUGGCAGGCGGUUACAUCUCGCUUAGAGUAUCAAUU